AUAUCAGUAAGCGGAGGAAAAGAAACUAACAAGGAUUCCCCUAGUAACUGCGAGUGAAGCGGGAAGAGCUCAACUUUAGAAUCUGGGAGGGUCACCUCUCCGAGUUGUAGUCUAAAGAGGCAAUACCUUUGACAGCAGUGGCAUAAAUCUCUUGGAACAGAGUAUCAUAGAGGGUGAGAAUCCCGUCCAUGGCUGCUUGUUCUGUCUUUUGAUGGUAUGCUUUCUGAGAGUCGGGUUGUUUGGGAAUGCAGCCCAAAUUGGGUGGUAAGUUUCAUCUAAGGCUAAAUAUUGGCGAGAGACCGAUAGCGCACAAGUA
rnacentral:rRNA from 1 species